UACGAAGGGUGCAAACGUUGCUCGGAAUUAUUGGGCGUAAAGCGCACGUAGGCGGCACAGCAAGUCGGGAGUGAAAGCCCGGGGCUCAACCCCGGAACGUCUUUCGAAACUGCUGAGCUCGAGUGCGGAAGAGGCAACUGGAAUUCCCAGUGUAGCGGUGAAAUGCGUAGAUAUUGGGAAGAACACCUGAGGCGAAGGCGGGUUGCUGGGCCGACACUGACGCUGAGGCGCGAAAGCCAGGGGAGCAAACGGG
rnacentral:rRNA from 1 species